ensembl:lncRNA
GUAUUCUUGGUAUAAACUAGGGUGUCUGUAGUUAAGAUGGUAGCUCAGGUAGAGCAGAUCAUCUACUGGUUCAUUUCCUGGCUGCUCCAGUCUGUGUGCCAAAUAGUCUUGGGCAAUAGUUCUAGUUCCACCCUAGGCUGUAAAAUCUGAAACAUUGUAACAGUUUGAUUUUUUUCUUUUAAAUAUUUUUCCUGUUUCCAAGUGAAAAAGAACAAUGAUCAGUACAACAGCAUGUGAUCGUCAUUAACGCAGGAAUAGGCAGCCUAAAAACAGACAAUAAACCCCACAGUUUGAACAAUUUAACAAAAGAAAAUCUUCAAAGUGACAUUUCAUUUUUAUUGGUCAGCCAUUUAUGAUUUUAAAAAGAUUCCGCUCAUUUCUGUUUGGAGGAAAAUCUGAUUAUUUGGACUGGAUUUAUUGGAAGUUUUUGUAAUGCCAGAGAACCGCUUGAUCUGGCAACAGUGAUAAAGUCUUUUAGUAACAGCUACUCGUUUCAGCUGACAUAAUUGGCGGGUACGCACUCGAAAUGAGAACGUUUUGUUGACUUCUGUCAGGAAUAAGGAGCCGUUUUGUUUCCAAAAGAACCAAGAAUCUCUAAAGACGCAUCUGACGCUAUUUUUUUUUAUUUUAUAAAAACCCCCCUUUGUGACGGGCAAAGAAGAGAAAUAUUGACAGGCGUGGUAACAAUAACAGAUGGGGUGUGCGAGAAAAUCUAUACAUCAGCAAUCACAUUAUGGAUCUCUGUGUGUUCUGGCCUCUUUGUGUCGCAGUCUGAAUGUGUUCAUUAGGAGAGCUUGUUGUUUUUCAAUCAGUUAUUCAUGCAGCUGCUUGAGCACGCAACAUGUCAAGAAUACCAUAUGCAUAAAAAAGCAAUAUUAUUGUGCUGAUCAUGUAAAGCAUAUUUAUGAGCAAAUAUUCCUCCUGCAGUUAUAAAACAAACAGUUUUUCCACAUGAGCUCAUUCUCCGCGUGCCCUUUCUUUUGAUAUUUAUCCCUCACCCUCUCCUUGGCUUUAGAAACCUGCAUCAACAAACUCCUGCACUGCAAUAAAUUGAAUUAAUUAAAGACCAAAAUAGACCGGGUGGAGGAACAGGUAGUGAGGGAGGUGUCGAUUGUUGUUGCACCCUCUUUGGGAAGCAGACAGUCAUACGCAUCAGCUGCUCGUGUGUCUCACCGGCCAUCUGUCAGGGACAACUAGAUCAGGAUGGCAGCUCUCCAAAGCCUCCCUCUUCCGCUCUGUCUCACGCUCUCUGUGGCGUUCGGCGGCAUGCGUAUCGCUCUCACUCAACGGUCAUUACGAGUCAAAUGAGUGUGACUUAAUAUCUCAGUUUCAUGUCCUCAUCUGGCCGCUUCAGUCCUGCU